rnacentral:rRNA from 1 species
CGGUGCGCCUUAUGCAUGCAAGUCGAGCGAAGCUUUUCAGUAGUUUACUACAGAAAAUGACUGAGCGGCGAACGGGUGAGUAACGCGUGAGCAAUCUACCUUAGUUACAGGGAUAGCCCGAGGAAACUCGGAUUAAUACCUGAUAUUCUUUACAUUUCGCAUGAAAUCAAAAGGAAAGGUCAGCCGAACUAAGAUGAGCUCGCGUUCUAUCAGCUAGUUGGUGAGGUAAAAGCUCACCAAGGCAACGACGGAUAGCUGGUCUGAGAGGACGAUCAGCCACACUGGGACUGAGACACGGCCCAGACUCCUACGGGAGGCUGCAGCAGGGAAUAUUGCGCAAUGAGCGAAAGCUUGACGCAGCGACACCGCGUGUGGGAUGACGGAUCUAGGUUUGUAAACCACUUUCAGGAGGGAAGAAAAUGACGGUACCUCCACAAGAAGCCCCGGCCAA